rnacentral:lncRNA from 1 species
AGCCCAUUGAUUUAAUCAAAUUAAGUCAAUUAGCAAUCAAAUUACUAAUCGAUCCUCCUGCAACACUUGCACUAGGUUAAAUGUCAAUCGUAUUGAUCGUUUAACCCUAGAACGAUUCUUAAUCGUUGAUCAACCAUCCGAUCGGAUUGUGAACUCUAAUGUGUGUGACUUCAUAGGUCUGAACUUAAACUGAUAGUAUAAAAAUAAAUUUUUGUAUCAAUCAAAGUGACCAUCUAGUAAUGAUACCCGA